UACAGAGGGUCUCAAGCGUUGUUCGGAUUCAUUGGGCGUAAAGGGCUCGUAGGCGGCCAACUAAGUCAGACGUGAAAUCCCUCAGCUUAACUGGGGACUGCGUCUGAUACUGGAUGGCUUGGAUUUGGGAGAGGGAUGCGGAAUUCCAGGUGUAGCGGUGAAAUGCGUAGAUAUCUGGAGGAACACCGGUGGCGAAGGCGGCAUCCUGGACCAAUAUUGACGCUGAGGAGCGAAAGCCAGGGGAGCAAAGCGGG
rnacentral:rRNA from 1 species